UGAGAUUCUAAUCCCGCCCACCAUAGAACCCAUCCUCCCUCAUCGGUGUGACAUUACUGAAAAUGUUAAAUAUAAGGGUCUGUGUGUGAGCUGUUCAUCAGUCACCAGGUCCACCUGUCCAACAGGUGUCUCAAUGAACACGUUUUCCAGGGGCUGUGUGUACAUGAAAAAGUCUCU